UGGCGUCAUUGCGACGGUGGCCGAGAGGUCAUAGCCCGACGGGCGCUGAGAAGACGACCGAACUUGGUCAUUUAGAGGGUGUAAAAGUCGUAACAAGGUUCCCGUAGGUGAACCUGCGGAGGGAUCAUUA
rnacentral:ncRNA from 1 species